rnacentral:rRNA from 1 species
AUUGAACGCUGGCGGCAGGCCUAACACAUGCAAGUCGAGCGAGCGGCGGACGGGUGAGUAAUGUAUGGGGACUGCCCGAUAGAGGGGGAUAACUACUGUAAACGGUGGCUCAUACCGCAUACUAUGGGAUAACCAAUAUGGGAUUAGCUAGUAGGUGGGGUAAAGGCUCACCGCGGCGAAGAUCUCUUGCUGGUCUGAGAGGAUGAUCGUCCACACUGGGACUGAGACACGGCCCAGACUCCUACGGAGGCAGCAGUGGGGAAUAUUGGACAAUGGGCGCAAGCCUGAUGCAGCCAUGCCGCGUGUAUGAAGAAGGCCUUAGGGUUGUAAAGUACUUUCAGCGGGGAGGCGUUACCCGCAGAAGAAGCACCGGCUAACUCCGUGCCAGCCGCCGCGGUAAUUC